AGUGAACGCUGGCGGUAGGCCUAACACAUGCAAGUCGAACGGCAGCACAGUAAGAGCUUGCUCUUACGGGUGGCGAGUGGCGGACGGGUGAGGAAUACAUCGGAAUCUACUUUUUCGUGGGGGAUAACGUAGGGAAACUUACGCUAAUACCGCAUACGACCUACGGGUGAAAGCAGGGGAUCUUCGGACCUUGCGCGAUUGAAUGAGCCGAUGUCGGAUUAGCUAGUUGGCGGGGUAAAGGCCCACCAAGGCGACGAUCCGUAGCUGGUCUGAGAGGAUGAUCCGCCACCCUGGAACUUGAAAGCGGCCCCGGCCCCUAAGGGAGGCAGCAGUGGGGAAUAUUGGACAAAGGGCGCAAGCCUGAUCCAGCCAUACCGCGUGGGUGAAGAAGGCCUUCGGGUUGUAAAGCCCUUUUGUUGGGAAAGAAAAGCAGCAGGUUAAUACCCCGCUGUUCUGACGGUACCCAAAGAAUAAGCACCGGCUAACUUCGUG
rnacentral:rRNA from 1 species